rnacentral:misc_RNA from 1 species
GAUGAGGAACGCAGCGAAAUGCGAUAAGUAAUGUGAAUUGCAGAAUUCAGUGAAUCAUCGAAUCUUUGAACGCACAUUGCGCCCCUUGGUAUUCCGAGGGGCAUGCCUGUUCGAGCGUCAUUAUAACCCCUCAAGCUCAGCUUGGUGUUGGGGCCUGCCGCACGGGCAGCCCUUAAAAUCAGUGGCGGUGCCAUCUGGCUCUAAGCGUAGUAAUUCUUCUCGCUAUAGAGUCCCGGUGGAUGCUUGCCAUUAACCCCCAAUUUUCUAUGGUUGACCUCGGAUCAGGUAGGGAUACCCGCUGAACUUAAGCAUAUCAAUAAGCGGAGGA